UACGAAGGGGGCGAGCGUUGUUCGGAUUUACUGGGCGUAAAGGGCGCGCAGGCGGCUCAUUUUGUCAGGCGUGAAAGCCCCGGGCUUAACCUGGGAACUGCGUUUGAUACGGAUGGGCUAGAGUUCGGGAGAGGAGAGUGGAAUUCCCAGUGUAGAGGUGAAAUGCGUAGAGAUCGGUAGGAACACCAGUGGCGAAGGCGGUCUCCUGGAGCUAACUUGACGCUGAGACGCGAAAGCAUGGGGAGCAAACAGG
rnacentral:rRNA from 1 species